CAGGCUGCAACUCGCCUGCAUGAAGCGGAAUUGCUAGUAAUCGCGGAUCAGCAUGCCGCGGUGAAUACGUUCCCGGGCCUUGUACACACCCGCCCGUCACACCAUGGGAGUCGGUAACACCCGAAGCCGAUAGUCUAACGAAAGAGGACGUCGUCGAAGGUGGGAUUGAUGACUGGGGUGAAGUCGUAACAAGGUAUC
rnacentral:rRNA from 1 species